rnacentral:lncRNA from 1 species
UGGCAUCUUCCUGAGCGGCAUUGUGGAUUGUUUUGUUUUGUUGUGUGUAAUUUUGUGUUUUUCUUGUGUGUGUGUGUGUUUUUUUAUUUUGUUUUGUUUUUUUUUGUUUUUUUUUUUUUUUCUUGCAAAGAGAAGAUGGAGGCAAGUGAUUGGCAGGAGUAGUGAGAUGUGGUAAAGAACUAGCGAUAGAAGGUUUUGUUAUGUUGGGAU